GACGAACGCUGGCGGCGUGCUUAACACAUGCAAGUCGAACGGAAAGGCUCCUGCUUGCAGGGGUACUCGAGUGGCGAACGGGUGAGUAACACGUGGGUGAUCUGCCUUGUACUCUGGGAUAAGCUUGGGAAACUGGGUCUAAUACCGGAUAGUAGCCGCCUUUAGUGUGGUGGUUGGAAAGUUUUUUCGGUGCAAGAUGAGCUCGCGGCCUAUCAGCUUGUUGGUGGGGUAAUGGCCUACCAAGGCGUCGACGGGUAGCCGGCCUGAGAGGGUGUACGGCCACAUUGGGACUGAGAUACGGCCCAGACUCCUACGGGAGGCAGCAGUGGGGAAUAUUGCACAAUGGGCGGAAGCCUGAUGCAGCGACGCCGCGUGGGGGAUGACGGCCUUCGGGUUGUAAACUCCUUUCGACAGGGACGAAGCUUUUUGUGACGGUACCUGUAUAAGAAGCACCGGCUAACUACGUGCCAGCAGCCGCGGUAAUACGUAGGGUGCGAGCGUUGUCCGGAAUUACUGGGCGUAAAGAGCUCGUAGGUGGUUUGUCGCGUCGUCUGUGAAAUUCCGGGGCUUAACUCCGGGCGUGCAGGCGAUACGGGCAUAACUUGAGUGCUGUAGGGGAGACUGGAAUUCCUGGUGUAGCGGUGAAAUGCGCAGAUAUCAGGAGGAACACCGAUGGCGAAGGCAGGUCUCUGGGCAGUAACUGACGCUGAGGAGCGAAAGCAUGGGUAGCGAACA
rnacentral:rRNA from 1 species